AUUGAACGCUGGCGGCAUGCUUUACACAUGCAAGUCGAACGGUAGCAGGCCGCAAGGUGCUGACGAGUGGCGAACGGGUGAGUAAUGCAUCGGAACGUGCCCAGUCGUGGGGGAUAACUACUCGAAAGAGUAGCUAAUACCGCAUACGAUCUAUGGAUGAAAGCGGGGGACCGUAAGGCCUCGCGCGAUUGGAGCGGCCGAUGUCAGAUUAGGUAGUUGGUGGGGUAAAGGCUCACCAAGCCAACGAUCUGUAGCUGGUCUGAGAGGACGACCAGCCACACUGGAACUGAGACACGGCCCAGACGCCUACGGGAGGCAGCAGUGGGGAAUUUUGGACAAUGGGCGCAAGCCUGAUCCAGCAAUGCCGCGUGCAGGAAGAAGGCCUUCGGGUUGUAAACUGCUUUUGUACGGAACGAAACGGCUCUGGUUAAUACCCGGGGCUAAUGACGGUACCGUAAGAAUAAGCACCGGCUAACUACGUG
rnacentral:rRNA from 1 species